GACGAACGCUGGCGGCGUGCUUAACACAUGCAAGUCGAACGAUGAACCCGGAGCUUGCUCUGGGGGAUUAGUGGCGAACGGGUGAGUAACACGUGAGUAACCUGCCCUGGACUCUGGGAUAAGCGUUGGAAACGACGUCUAAUACCGGAUAGGACCUUGGAUCGCAUGAUCUGGGGUGGAAAGUUUUUUCGGUCUGGGAUGGACUCGCGGCCUAUCAGCUUGUUGGUGAGGUAAUGGCUCACCAAGGCGUCGACGGGUAGCCGGCCUGAGAGGGUGACCGGCCACACUGGGACUGAGACACGGCCCAGACUCCUACGGGAGGCAGCAGUGGGGAAUAUUGCACAAUGGGCGAAAGCCUGAUGCAGCAACGCCGCGUGCGGGAUGACGGCCUUCGGGUUGUAAACCGCUUUUAGUAGGGAAGAAGGGCUUCGGCUUGACGGUACCGGCAGAAAAAGGACCGGCUAACUACGU
rnacentral:rRNA from 1 species